rnacentral:rRNA from 1 species
GUGGGGAAUAUUGGGCAAUGGGCGAAAGCCUGACCCAGCAACGCCGCGUGAAGGAAGAAGGUUUUCGGAUCGUAAACUUCUAUCCUUGGUGAAGAUAAUGACGGUAGCCAAGAAGGAAGCCCCGGCUAACUACGUGCCAGCAGCCGCGGUAAUACGGAGGGGGCAAGCGUUGUCCGGAAUGAUUGGGCGUAAAGGGCGCGUAGGCGGCCCGGUAAGUCUGAAGUGAAAGUCCUGCUUUUAAGGUGGGAAUUGCUUUGGAUACUGUCGGGCUUGAGUGCAGGAGAGGUAAGCGGAAUUCCCGGUGUAGCGGUGAAAUGCGUAGAGAUCGGGAGGAACACCAGUGGCGAAGGCGGCUUACUGGACUGUAACUGACGCUGAGGCGCGAAAGUGUGGGGAGCAAACAGGAUUAGAAACCCCAGUAGUCC